rnacentral:rRNA from 1 species
AUACGGAGGGUGCAAGCGUUACUCGGAAUCACUGGGCGUAAAGCGCGCGCAGGCGGCUAUUUAAGUUGGAUGUGAAAGCCUACGGCUCAACCGUAGAACUGCAUCCAAAACUAUUUAGCUAGAGUGUGGGAGAGGAAGAUGGAAUUAGUUGUGUAGGGGUAAAAUCCGUGGAGAUAACUAGGAAUACCAAAAGCGAAGGCAAUCUUCUGGAACACUACUGACGCUGAGGCGCGAAAGCGUGGGGAGCAAACGGGAUUAGAUACCCUAGUAGUCC